AAAGAGCCCGCUCCGCCGAGCGCCGGGCGACGGCAGGAAGCCCCUCCGCUUGGCCAGAAUGGAGCAGCCGAAGGGAGUUGAUUGGACAGUCAUCAUCCUGACCUGCCAAUACAAGGACAGUGUCCAGGUCUUUCAGAGAGAACUGGAAGUGCGGCAGAAGCGGGAGCAGAUCCCUGCUGGGACGCUGUUACUGGCUGUGGAGGACCCAGAGAAGCGUGUGGGCAGCGGAGGAGCCACCCUCAACGCCCUGCUGGUGGCUGCUGAACACCUGAGUGCCCGGGCAGGCUUCACUGUGGUCACAUCCGAUGUCCUGCACUCGGCCUGGAUCCUCAUUCUGCACAUGGGUCGAGACUUCCCCUUUGAUGACUGUGGCAGGGCCUUCACCUGCCUCCCCAUGGAGAACCCCGAGGGCCCCGUGGAAGCCUUGGUCUGCAACCUGGACUGCCUGCUGGACAUCAUGACCUAUCGGCUAGGCCCGGGCUCCCCGCCAGGCGUGUGGGUCUGCAGCACCGACAUGCUGCUGUCUGUUCCUGCAAAUCCUGGUGAGCCUGAGACUACCUGGGACCGCCUUCCCUCGUCACAGCCACAGCAAGAAGCCAGCUCUGCCCUUCUUGCCCACCCUGCCUCUGGGCCUGCCCUGCUGCCCUAUUAGACGGGAAGCUGGAGGGUGUGGAGAAUGAAGCCUGGUGGAGGCAGGGCUUCUCCUGCUGUGCCUCAGUCUGUCUGUCUAUAGGAUGGACAGAAUCAGCCCUGCCCCUUCUGUCCCACAGGGCUCUGCGGAAGAACUUUGGGAGAGGAGGGUUGUCAUUCUCCCAGGCGAAUGUCCAUUUGGCUUGGAAACCGUAUUUCCCUUUUAGAGGUGCCCAGGUGCCGCAGCCCUGGGCUCUUGCUUCCUCCUGGUGGGGAAAUCCGUGCCUUGGGUGGAGGCCCCUGGGAGCCUCCUGACUGCCCCACCCCACAGGGAUCAGCUGGGACAGCUUCCGGGGAGCCAGAGUGAUCGCCCUCCCAGGGAGCCCGGCCUACGCUCAGAAUCAUGGCGUCUACCUAACUGACCCCCAGGGCCUUGUUUUGGACAUUUACUACCAGGGCACUGAGGCAGAGAUUCAGCGGUGUGUCAGGCCUGAUGGGCGGGUGCCACUGGUCUCUGGGGUUGUCUUCUUCUCUGUGGAGACUGCCGAGUGCCUCCUAGCCACCCACGUGAGCCCGCCCCUGGAUGCCUGCACCUACCUAGGCUUGGACUCCGGAGCCCGGCCUGUCCAGCCUAUGUCUCCAGCGGCAGCUACAGCUACAUGACCUCCUCAGCCAGUGAGUUCCUGCUCAGCCUCACACUCCCCGGGGCUCCUGGGGCCCAGAUUGUGCACUCCCAGGUGGAGGAGCAGCAGCUCCUGGCGGCCGGGAGCUCUGUGGUCAGCUGCCUGCUGGAGGGCCCUGUCCGGCUGGGUCCUGGGAGCGUCCUGCAGCACUGCCACCUGCGGGGCCCCAUUCACAUAGGUGCUGGCUGCUUGGUGACUGGUCUGGAUGCAGCCCACUCCAAGGCCCUGCAUGGCCGGGAGCUGCGUGACCUUGUCCUGCAGGGACACCACACGCGGCUACACGGCUCCCUGGGCCAUGCCUUCACCCUCGUUGGCCGUCUGGACAGCUGGGAGAGACAGGGGGCAGGCACAUAUCUCAACGUGCCCUGGAGUGAAUUCUUCAAGAGGACAGGUGUUCGAGCCUGGGACCUGUGGGACCCCGACACGCUGCCCGCAGAGUACUGCCUUCCCAGCGCCCGCCUCUUUCCUGUGCUCCACCCCUCGAGGGAGCUGGGACCCCAGGACCUGCUGUGGAUGCUGGACCACCAGGAGGAUGGGGGCGAGGCCCUGCGAGCCUGGCGAGCCUCCUGGCGCCUGUCCUGGGAGCAGCUGCAGCCGUGCCUGGAUCGGGCUGCCACGCUGGCCUCUCGCCGGGACCUGUUCUUCCGCCAGGCCCUGCAUAAGGCGCGGCACGUGCUGGAGGCCCAGCAGGACCUCAGCCUGCGCCCGCUGAUCUGGGCUGCUGUCCGCGAGGGCUGCCCCGGGCCCCUGCUGGCCACGCUGGACCAGGUUGCAGCUGGGGCAGGAGACCCUGGCGUGGCAGCACGGGCACUGGCCUGUGUGGCGGAUGUCCUGGGCUGCAUGGCAGAGGGCCGUGGGGGCUUGCGGAGCGGGCCAGCUGCCAACCCUGAGUGGAUGCGGCCCUUCUCAUACCUGGAGUGUGGAGACCUGGCAGCGGGCGUGGAGGCACUUGCCCAGGAGAGGGACAAGUGGCUAAGCAGAGCAGGUGGAACUGCCGGGACCUGGGCAGUGGGUGGUGGCUGAGUGCCCGGCCCGUGUGGAUUUCUCUGGGGGCUGGAGUGACACGCCACCCCUUGCCUAUGAGCUUGGCGGGGCUGUGCUGGGCCUGGCUGUGCGAGUGGACGGCCGCCGGCCCAUCGGAGCCAGGGCACGCCGCAUCCCGGAGCCUGAGCUGUGGCUGGCGGUGGGGCCUCGGCAGGAUGAGAUGACUGUGAAGAUAGUGUGCCGGUGCCUGGCUGACCUGCGGGACUACUGCCAGCCUCAUGCCCCAGGGGCCCUGCUGAAGGCGGCCUUCAUCUGUGCAGGGAUUGUGCAUGUCCACUCGGAACUCCAGCUGAGUGAGCAGCUGCUCCGCACCUUUGGGGGCGGCUUUGAGCUGCACACCUGGUCUGAGCUGCCCCACGGCUCUGGCCUGGGCACCAGCAGCAUCCUGGCAGGCACUGCCCUGGCUGCCUUGCAGCGAGCCGCAGGCCGGGUGGUGGGCACGGAAGCCCUGAUCCACGCAGUGCUGCACCUGGAGCAGGUGCUCACCACUGGAGGUGGCUGGCAGGACCAAGUAGGUGGCCUAAUGCCUGGCAUCAAGGUGGGGCGCUCCCGGGCUCAGCUGCCACUGAAGGUGGAGGUAGAAGAGGUCACGGUGCCUGAGGGCUUUGUCCAGAAGCUCAAUGACCACCUGCUCUUGGUGUACACUGGCAAGACCCGCCUGGCUCGGAACCUGCUGCAGGAUGUGCUGAGGAGCUGGUAUGCCCGACUUCCUGCUGUGGUGCAGAAUGCCCACAGCCUGGUGCGGCAAACUGAGGAGUGUGCUGAAGGCUUCCGCCAAGGGUCUCACAUUUAGGGGAAAGCUACAUCUGAGGACAAAAUUUUCAUGAUGGGAAAGGCCCUCCAGCCCUAACAGGAAGCAGAGAGGGGAAGGGACUCAACCCAUGGCUGAGUUCCAAGGAAGUCUGAGCUGGGCAGGGUCCCCAGUGUGUGGCGUCACAGCUCCCUAGGUGCCGACUAUGCUGGGUGUGGUGUUGGUUGCUUCCUGCACAUUGGUCCUCAGGCAGUCCUGGGAAGUGGGUUACUCCCGGCUCCAGCCGGCACUAGAAUCUGGCUUCUUUACCAUUACACUGGCUCAGCAGCACGUCUUGGCACUUCAUGCAAUCUCCAGAUGGGUGCUGAGUAUCUUGGCCCAGGCACGUCACUCCCCUCUGCCCCACCUCAGGAAGCCUGCCUCUGCUGGGCCAGUGCCUGACCUCAUACUGGGAGCAGAAGAAGCUCAUGGCUCCAGGCUGUGAGCCCCUGACUGUGCGGCGUAUGAUGGAUGUCCUGGCCCCCCACGUGCAUGGCCAGAGCCUGGCUGGGGCAGGCGGUGGAGGCUUUCUCUAUCUGUUGACCAAGGAGCCACAGCAAAAGGAGGCCUUGGAGGCGGUGCUGGCCAAGACCGAGGGCCUUGGGAAUUACAGCAUCCACCUGGUUGAAGUGGACACUCAGGGCCUGAGCCUGAAGCUGCUGGGGACCGAGGCCUCAACCUGUUGCCCUUUCCCAUGAAGCUGGCUUCUCUCUGCAACAGGAGAAAACCUGGAGCUACAGUGUCCCCCACCUUCCUUGCCCCAUGGGAACCUCCACCUCCUACUCCCCACCCACCUCUGCGAAUCUGCUCCCAAAGGGAGCUGACCAGAGCAAGAUCUGGGCAAGCAGAGAGUGCCUGGGACAGGACUGUGACCUGGUGGACAGUGGCCUAGGUGUAGCCUCUGUUCCUCCUGGACAUAGGAAGAUCCCAAGCUUAGUAUCCCACGUGGCCUUUACAAAUCCUAUGGCUGGCCUUCUCAUUCCACAAGGGCCCUGGAAAGGGUUGACAGCCAGCCUUGGCAUAUGGCUGGGAGUCCCUUAGCAAGGCCAACCCUGAAGAGGCCCUUCGAGACAUUCCCUAUGGCUUAGAGUUGUAGACUUACACUCAACCCUCAUGUGAGUGUGGGAGUGAGGGUGGCGGUCCCUUGCCAAGUUGGUAGCAGUGACCCAGUGAUUCACUGCCAUCCCAGGCCUUAACUAGCAAAACUACGGAGCGUGCCAAGUGACCUGGUGCCUGUGGGAAGUGGGUUCUCAGGACUGGCAUUCUUGGAAUAAAUUCACUCUGUCCUUGCA
rnacentral:sRNA from 1 species